rnacentral:tRNA from 1 species
GGUGGCUCAGUGGUAGAGCUCUUGCCUUGCAUGCAGGAGGCCCUGGGUUUGAUUCCUCAGCACCA